rnacentral:misc_RNA from 1 species
GAACGCACAUUGCGCCCCUUGGUAUUCCGAGGGGCAUGCCUGUUCGAGCGUCAUUAUAACCCCUCAAGCUCAGCUUGGUGUUGGGGCCUGCCGCACGGGCAGCCCUUAAAAUCAGUGGCGGUGCUAUCUGGCUCUAAGCGUAGUAAUUCUUCUCGCUAUAGAGUCCUGGUGGAUGCUUGCCAUUAACCCCCAAUUUUCUAUGGUUGACCUCGGAUCAGGUAGGGAUACCCGCUGAACUUAAG